rnacentral:rRNA from 1 species
AUUGAACGCUGGCGGCAGGCCUAACACAUGCAAGUCGAGCGAGCGGCGGACGGGUGAGUAAUGUAUGGGGACUGCCCGAUAGAGGGGGAUAACUACUGGAAACGGUGGCUAAUACCGCAUACUAUCGGAUAACCCAUAUGGGAUUGGCUAGUAGGUGGGGUAAAGGCUCACCUAGGCGACGAUCUCUAGCUUGUCUGAGAGGAUGAUCAGCCACAUGGGUACGGAGACACGGCCCAUCAUCCUACGGAGGGAGCAGUGGGAAAUAUUGCACAAUGGGCGGAAUCCUGACGCAGCCAUGCCGCGGGUAUGAAGAAGGCCUUAGGGUUGUAAGGUACUUUCAGCGGGGAGGCGUUACCCGCAGAAGAAGCACCGGCUAACUCCUUGCCAGCAGCCGCGGUAAUAC